rnacentral:rRNA from 1 species
GAGGAAAGCGGGCGGCGUGCCUAAUACAUGCAAGUCGAGCGAACGGACGAGAAGCUUGCUUCUCUGAUGUUAGCGGCGGACGGGUGAGUAACACGUGGAUAACCUACCUAUAAGACUGGGAUAACUUCGGGAAACCGGAGCUAAUACCGGAUAAUAUUUUGAACCGCAUGGUUCAAAAGUGAAAGACGGUCUUGCUGUCACUUAUAGAUGGAUCCGCGCUGCAUUAGCUAGUUGGUAAGGUAACGGCUUACCAAGGCAACGAUGCAUAGCCGACCUGAGAGGGUGAUCGGCCACACUGGAACUGAGACACGGUCCAGACUCCUACGGGAGGCAGCAGUAGGGAAUCUUCCGCAAUGGGCGAAAGCCUGACGGAGCAACGCCGCGUGAGUGAUGAAGGUCUUCGGAUCGUAAAACUCUGUUAUUAGGGAAGAACAUAUGUGUAAGUAACUGUGCACAUCUUGACGGUACCUAAUCAGAAAGCCACGGCUAACUACGUG